GGUGGGAAGUGACUGAGUACGUCGCUGAUCUGAUGAUACAGCAAUGGUGUGAGUAGCCCUCAUGCUCCAUACAGGAUCUGGACUCUCUUUUCCUACCUGCUGCCACGUCCUCACCAAACGCGUGAAAUAGGCUGUUAUGCAAUUAUGUUUCUCAAGAUGUCACAUCUCGGAGGAAAGGAAGAACGCAAAUGAGACAUCAAGAACCCUUUGAGAAGUUGCACCUCAUAAGACAAGGCUGAGCCACAUCAGAUGUUUUUUUGUUGCUUCCUUUCUGAACUGCUGAAGAGAGUUGCAUCUCAACAAUCUGCUCCAUUACUUAUGUAUUGGCAGAUUCCUACUAUGACCAGGUUGCUGUAUGGAGGGAAUCAAAGUUCUGUGAGAAUCAUUGACAAAGGUAUUUGGUUUUAUGUACAGAAAAAAAAAGUAGC